rnacentral:lncRNA from 1 species
AGGUAGGGUUCGAAAUUGCUAUAGUGUUUCCGAGUGUCCAAAAUUAUCUUCCGGGUGCCUGAAAUUGCCUGGAACUUUAGUUCCAGCAGUUUUCGACGUUUCGAGUCCAUUUCGCAUUAAAAAAGCUCCCGCUCAGCCGGACACUCUAUAGAUUUGUCGAUAAACUCCCUCCACUAUACUCAAACCCAGCUACUAAGCUUCAGUACAUUACAUACUUCUUGCUUUUUUUUUCCUCUUUACUUUUAAAGAUAGUAGGCAAUGGAAUGUUAUUUUCAAAUGUAUUUCUGCUUCUUUCUUCAAAAUUUUACUUUCCUUUUGCUCCACUUACCAACAUAAUAUAAGAGUGUUCUUAGGUUUUACUUCACAUAAAUCUCUUCUGCUAUAUUUU